rnacentral:rRNA from 1 species
CUUGGUCAUUUAGAGGAAGUAAAAGUCGUAACAAGGUUUCCGUAGGUGAACCUGCGGAAGGAUCAUUACCGAGUGAGGGCCCUCUGGGUCCAACCUCCCACCCGUGUUUAUUUACCUUGUUGCUUCGGCGGGCCCGCCUUAACUGGCCGCCGGGGGGCUUACGUCCCCGGGCCCGCGCCCGCCGAAGACACCCUCGAACUCUGUCUGAAGAUUGUAGUCUGAGUGAAAAUAUAAAUUAUUUAAAACUUUCAACAACGGAUCUCUUGGUUCCGGCAUCGAUGAAGAACGCAGCGAAAUGCGAUACGUAAUGUGAAUUGCAAAUUCAGUGAAUCAUCGAGUCUUUGAACGCACAUUGCGCCCCCUGGUAUUCCGGGGGGCAUGCCUGUCCGAGCGUCAUUUCUGCCCUCAAGCACGGCUUGUGUGUUGGGCCCCGUCCUCCGAUUCCGGGGGACGGGCCCGAAAGGCAGCGGCGGCACCGAGUCCGGUCCUCGAGCGUAUGGGGCUUUGUCACCCGCUCUGUAGGCCCGGCCGGCGCUUGCCGAUCAACCCAAUUUUUAUCCAGUGACCUCGGAUCAGGUAGGGAUACCCGCUGAACUUAAGCAUAUCAAUAAGCGGGAGGAA